rnacentral:siRNA from 1 species
CUAUGCUCUCGGUAGAUCCUC